GCACUGGUGGUUCAGUGGUAGAAUUCUCACCUUCAAUGUGGGAGGCCAGGGUUCGAUUACCAGCCAGAGUA
rnacentral:tRNA from 1 species